GACGAACGCUGGCGGCGUGCUUAACACAUGCAAGUCGAACGGAAAGGCCCUGCUUUUGUGGGGGGCUCGAGUGGCGAACGGGUGAGUAACACGUGAGUAACCUGCCCUUGACUUUGGGAUAACUUCAGGAAACUUGGGCUAAUACCGGAUAGGAGCUCCUGCUGCAUGGUGGGGGUUGGAAAGUUUCGGCGGUUGGGGAUGGACUCGCGGCUUAUCAGCUUGUUGGUGGGGUAGUGGCUUACCAAGGCUUUGACGGGUAGCCGGCCUGAGAGGGUGACCGGCCACAUUGGGACUGAGAUACGGCCCAGACUCCUACGGGAGGCAGCAGUGGGGAAUAUUGCACAAUGGGCGGAAGCCUGAUGCAGCAACGCCGCGUGCGGGAUGACGGCCUUCGGGUUGUAAACCGCUUUCGCCUGUGACGAAGCGUGAGUGACGGUAAUGGGUAAAGAAGCACCGGCUAACUACGUG
rnacentral:rRNA from 1 species